GGAGCAGCAGGGAGGGGAGGAGCUGCUCCAACAGCGAUACAAUCUCCUCUCCCCUGCGUGUGAAGCUGGGGAGUGGUAUCUGCCACCAUUUAUAAAGCUGGCACAACAGAGGGCUGCCCGGUGAUUGGUCCCAGUAAGGUUCCAUUCCAGCCAUCGGGAUCAGGGGAAGAGAUUGGACAAGGAGGCUAGUGCUCACGUGGACGACUUCCACAACAGCUCUCUCACCAACGGAGCUGCUAAGAGGUGAACCAGUAUUGUUGCUGGAGGCUCCAGGACUCAGCCAGAGAGCGUUUCUCUGAACAGGGAGAAAAACAGUCCACUAGGUAUCGCCUGCUAAUGCAAGAGAAGCUGCCCCAACAACUGUCACUGGUGGUAAGGAGGAACUGAAGAGGUGGCGGGUCAGAAGGGACCUAUAUACAUGACCAUGAAACCGCCACUUCAGGGGGCUCCACAGCCAACCCAACAGAUACCGCUAGGGAAAAACCUUCUGACGAUCAUGCUUGUGGCACGCACACAUCUAUUUGGAAUUGACAUGAGCAAUCACUCGAAGAGCAAGAGAAGGCCACUUUCUGCUCCAUGUCUAAAAGUAGACGAAUCCUUCAUGAACACAAACCUAAGCACUACACAACAAAAACACUUGCAAAAUAAGAUUAAUCCUCCACAGGGACAAGCUGGAUUUUGUGCCUGCACUGGCAGGCUAAAAGAGAGGAAACAGAAUGGGGCCCUUUUUGUAUAGUUUUUGUUCCAAAAUGCUGGCUCUGAAGAGUACAUAUGUGGUUUAAUGUUUUGAAAAAAAAAGUUGUGUGGGUGAGAUUGUCUCCCUGUUCAGUCAAUUUUUUUGUCUGCUGAAUCUGCCAACAACUGUGCCAAAUAUGAUGGUGGUUUUGUGAUAUGGAUACAUGUCCAUUAGACCGAGAUCAGUAAUUUAUUUCAGACAGGCUACUAAGAUGUGGAGAGAUUAGUGAAAAUGGAAC